CCCAGAACCGGUGUGGCACAGCACUGAGCAUGUACAGCCCAAUUCUGACAAGACAUCGCUAAGAACGUCUGCAGCAGCAGCUCAGUGCAUUCCCACCCUGCCCCCUUCAGUAGACAAUGCCUUGCAGGGAAUGGGCGGGUAGGCGGUAGGGCUUAUGACGUCACAGAGCAUUCUGAGCAUGCGCACUAUCAUCAACCAGGCAUUGUUUUGCCAUUUAUUAUUUGCUUUAGUUGUUGCAGUUGGGUACACUGGCUAACUUUUCUGAGCAUCUGUUUUUUCUUAACCUGCCUGAUCAGGCUUUUCUUAAGACUUAAGAAGAUAACAUAUAUGCUAAAGGAUAAAAGCAUGUGAUUAAGGGGGUAGUCUCCACCGGUCAGGAAUUCCUGGGUUCAAAUCCUCACUUCUUCUCUCUCCCGCCACGUGACUGUGCCUCUCUUUUCUUAUCUGCAAAAUGGGCAUCAUAACAGUAUCUAUUGCAAAAGAUUCUUGUGAAAAUGAAAAUGAGUUAAUACCUAUAAAUCGCUUAAAACAGAGCUUGACAAAUAGUAAAGAGUGGAUGAACAUGAGGAAAAAAACAAAAACUGUAGGUACUUCGGAAACAACAACGAUUUUUAUCACAGGCUUUCCCCUAAAAUCAUAGUCUGCAGUGUGAAAAUGUGGCAUCUGGACUAAGAGACAAGAAUCCUGGCACAGAGAAACAUGCAGGUGGCUGAUCUCACCACCCCACCUAGAGAAAGGCAUAGUAAGUACCUCUUCUGUGACACUAUUAUGUCUAAAGCCCAGACAGCCAAAUGCACAUAUAAUACUUGAGAGAGAGAAGAGAAAAACAGUUAAAAGUAAAUAAUAUGUUUAUACCAUUUUAAGAAUAAAAGCAAAUGAGUUUGGGAUUUUUUUUUUUUAUAAUGUUACUUAACCGAGAUAACCCAUCUGAUUUCUCUAUUUCUAAAAAAAAAACAAAAAAAAAAAAACGGAAAAGUUAAAAAUGUUUCCACAUGUGUGAUUUCAAUGAAAUUUACAUCUACGAGUCAUUAUCAUUUCGGUGGAAGGCAAAAUGAUAUUCGGCUUGUCACUGGAGGGGCAGAUGGAGAUGGAAUUUAGGAAGUUGACACACUGGCUGACAGAAAUGAGUAAAAUUUACGCUCCAGCCAACCUAAUGGCAAGCAAUUAUCUCUGAACUAGGAUAACAAAUGUGCUUUUUUAUCCUCAAAAAGUUGACAUGCAUUAUAGAAGUUUCCAGAAGGGAUAUUUUCUGUAAAGAAGCCACUGCUUCUGUAUUCAACAUUCAGUACAAGAGUUUAAUUGGAUACUGACCCUUUCAGAAGAUUUUGUUACAAGUUAAAGUUAGAUAUUAAGAGACGAGAAAAAUCCACCUGAAGUUGUCUGCCACUUUCUAUUCUGUAUUUCUCUGUUUAAAUAUUGCCUUUCAAAUGCACUUUUACUUCAUAGUCAAUACCAUUAAUAGAUUUUGGCUUCAGCAAAAUACAGAUUGCUUUAUGCACAAUCCAUAGUCAUAUUUUUUAUGACUGUCAUAAAUAAAAGAAAUAAAAGUGGGAAUUUGGGUUUGUUGUUGUUUAAAAGACUAUCAACAUGAGAAAGACGUUUUUGAUUCCAUGAUUAAGUGACAUCCUAUAUAACAAGAAGAUUGGCAAAUGUUACACUGGUGUAAUUCAUCACAGAUGACUUUAUAUAAUUAAAAUGUUUAAAUAGAAACAUUAAGACAAUUUAAAUGUCUUAUAGUGUGAAUUUCAAAUGUUUUGACUCAUAAAUUUAUUCUACAUAAAAACAACUAAAGAAGAUGCCAUCUACAAACUACAUAUCCUUUUUUUUUUUUUUUUGCUUUUUAGGGCUGCACCUCUGGCAUAUUCAACCUGGUUAGGGGUCAAAUUGGAGCUACAGCUGCUGGCCUGCACCAGAGCCACAGCAACACGGGAUCCUAGCCUCAUCUGCGACCUACACCACAGCUCACAGCAAUGCUGGAUCCUUUAACCCACUGAGCGAGGCCAGGGAUCGAACCCCCAUCCUCAUGGAUACUAUCGGGCUUGUUACCACUGAGCCACAGUGGGACCUUCCCAAAUUACAGAGAAAGCCCAGAAAUAUGCACCCACGGCCUUUUGGAUGGAAUGACCAUGGUUAUAAUCUAGUUCAAAUUUCUUACAUUAGAAAUAAGGAAGCUGAAGCUAAAAAUGUUGCUGUUAAUGUUCUAACCAUGAUAUUAAAUAACAGCAAAGAUUAAAAAAAAAAAGGAAAAGAAAAUGUCUUCAGCUGUUUGAAACGGAGCCACAACCCUAUUUUAAUACUAUUAAAAUCUUAAUCUCACAAACAUAUUAGAAAGGCACACCAGAAAAAAGCCAGGAUGGAUUUGAUGUAGUUCAAUGAACGGAUGAUAGUUUCCCGUCAGAUCAAAGGAAAGAGUGAAAGAAAGGAAUCAGACGAAAAGAAAUAACCUUGAGCGCCUGCUGUCUGCCAAAAUCACAGCGAUGCAACCUAUUCAAAAAGACUUAGUUUAAAAUCUGUCUUAACACUUAUGGUUGAUGUCCUUGAGUGAAUCAAGCCCUAUCACUCUCUGAUCCCACAUUUCAGAGUAAAGGAAAUAAUACCUGGAACUGCUGUGAAGACUAAACACGAUCAUGCACGUAAAAAAUUAAAUUGUCCACCCACUGUAGCAAGACUACCCCGUACUAUCCCAUACCCUUAGAUCUUCUGUCACUUAACG
rnacentral:lncRNA from 1 species